AUGACGAACGGGUGAGUAACACGUGAGUAACCUGCCCUUGACUCUGGGAUAAGCGUUGGAAACGACGUCUAAUACCGGAUACAAGCUGGGACCGCAUGGUCACCAGCUGGAAAGAACUUCGGUCAAGGAUGGACUCGCGGCCUAUCAGCUAGUUGGUGAGGUAACGGCUCACCAAGGCGACGACGGGUAGCCGGCCUGAGAGGGUGACCGGCCACACUGGGACUGAGACACGGCCCAGACUCCUACGGGAGGCAGCAGUGGGGAAUAUUGCACAAUGGGCGCAAGCCUGAUGCAGCAACGCCGCGUGAGGGACGACGGCCUUCGGGUUGUAAACCUCUUUUAGCAGGGAAGAAGCGAAAGUGACGGUACCUGCAGAAAAAGCACCGGCUAACUACGUGCCAGCAGCCGCGGUAAUACGUAGGGUGCAAGCGUUGUCCGGAAUUAUUGGGCGUAAAGAGCUCGUAGGCGGUCUGUCGCGUCUGCUGUGAAAACCCGAGGCUCAACCUCGGGCCUGCAGUGGGUACGGGCAGACUAGAGUGCGGUAGGGGAGAUUGGAAUUCCUGGUGUAGCGGUGGAAUGCGCAGAUAUCAGGAGGAACACCGAUGGCGAAGGCAGAUCUCUGGGCCGUAACUGACGCUGAGGAGCGAAAGCGUGGGGAGCGAACAGGAUUAGAUACCCUGGUAGUCCAC
rnacentral:rRNA from 1 species